rnacentral:sRNA from 1 species
UGAAACGACAGGGCCUGUUGGAGCCCUU